rnacentral:snoRNA from 1 species
GAUCAAUGAUGAAACAUAUCCCGAAGCUGAUUACCUGAAGAAAAGCAUAUACGGAUUCGGCUUCUGAGAU